GACCGCCACUCUGCAGUCCCCAGAUGGCUCAUCCCGUUAAGCUAAACCCUCAGCCAUCCGGCGGCUUUAGGAAGAAAAGCAGUUCUGGCCCGAGCCAGCUCGAGCCUGCUAGGUGAGGGAGGGGCAGCAUCCACUGGCUGCCAGAGAGCUCAGGGGCCUGUAUGGGAGACAGGCGGGGUCUCCAGCGUUGGGGCUAGGUGGGGGUACUGGAGGCUUGGAACCCUCGAGGUGAUGGGGUCACCCUGCUCCUCAGAAGACCCUGCGUUGAGUCCUCUGGCCCAGCCUAAGAGUGAGGCUGGUUGGGAGACAAAGAGACGAUGGAGGAGUAUGUAACCCAUGGAUGGCCUGGAGAAGCGGGGCUGCCUGCAGAGUGAGGAUUGGGGUUGUAGGGGGAGGGGAGGGCCAGGCCCACAAACCUCAGGCACCCCCAUCUGCACAUUUGAGAGAGGAAAGGAUCCCGUGGAGCAGGCAAAGGAAAAGGGGCAGGGAGUGCUUGCAGGCCGAGGGGGUGACGCCUGUGAAGGGAGGGCGUUAGCUGUGGCGAUGAACUGGGUGAGGCAGCGUCUAUGGAGAGGAUUGCGCGUCCGAGCAGACGGAGGUCGGGCCGGUGGCGCCAAGAGAAGCAGGGGAAGUGAGGAUGCGGCGGGGUGCGGGAGACUCUUGAGAAUUGAAGAUCUUGCCAGUCCUAGGACCUCGGUGGGGAGAGAAGGCAGGGGCAGGGGAGGGAGAUGGGGGGUGGUGCCGAUGGCACUUUGGGAUGAGGGCAGAGGGUGAAACGAGGGAGGCCUGAGGGGUGUGGCCAGAGACAAGGGUGGGGGCCUCUUCCCCCUUGGCCGGCUGGGACGGGAGGGAACGUGGUCCAAGGCCAGUUACAGGACAUGGAGGGACCUGCCACCCGGGGCUGCCUCUGCAGGGUCAGAGGCUGUGGAGAGGGAGGUGGCUGAAGAGAGCGGUGAAGGGAGAGCUGGCAGCCGAGAACGGCUCUCACUGCUCCAGGGACCGCUACCUCCACAUCUGCAGGGUGCGACAGGCCCCCCUGGACCCCACUUGACAGGGCUGCACCCUCGCUCCCUCCCCGGCUCGGGUUUUCCCCAGAUCAACCUAGAUUCUCCUCCAUGGCAUGUGAGAUUGGGCACGAGCUGGCCGGCGGGCUACCCAGUCCUGGAAAGGAGUGUGCCUCCCGAGGGGCCCUCCCUGCGCCUUGGCCCGUGCCCACCCACCUCUGAUCCUGUGGGAUUCGGCACAGCUGCCACCGGUCCCAGAAGCUAAAGAGGGAGGCGAGGGAGCCCUUAGCCUGUGUCUGCGCCUGGGCAGUUGCCCGUGCCCAGCCAAGCCGAGCUGGGCUUCGAAGCUGCGCGAAGUUCACCGACCCAUCCUCGCCUCCGGGAUGAUUCGGCAGGACUUUCUUAUAAUGGGAGCCGGAGUCUGGAACUCUGGCCUCUGCCCAGAGUCAGGCCGUCGUGGAUCUUGAGACAUCAGGGACACUGGGAGAGUCCUAGGACAAAUGACUACCAUCUGGCCAGGACCCAUCAGACCCCUGUCUUGUGACAUCUUGACCAAAAAUGGAGGAGACAUCCCAUGCAUCCAAAUGUUCGUGACUCUGUUCCAAGAUCCAUGUCUCAAGAACUGCUGCGUGUGUCUGGCUCACGCCCCUUCAAAGCACCUUCUUCCCCCACAGGAGCUCCAUGUUUUCAACGACCCCUCAUGAGUCCACUCCCCGAGCUCCACAGCUGGGAGCUCCUACUCCUGGUUCUGAGGGGGGACAGUCUUCCAGGCCAUCUAACCCUAAUGCCCCAUCUGGGGGGCUGGAGACCCCAGACCCCCAUGAAUCAGCUCAUGGACUUGGCGUUUGGCAUAUUCAACAGUAGAGACAAGGUUGAAGAGACAGAAAAGAUUCAGGGACAACAGCGAAAGGCACAGUUAUUGGUGGCAGCCCACCCCUGCCCCACCUCAGGGUGGCCCUCACUUGUGAAGACCCAUGGUGAGGACAGAAUCCAGGACACCUGAAUCAGAGCUAGUGUCUCGCUGAGGAAGGAUGUGUUUUAAGUGGGCCAGGAGGGCCACUGGAAGGACCAGUGCCCCCAGUCCUGAAGGGGACUUGGGACUCCCAAACCAAUGAUGGCCAAGAGGACUGAAGACUGACAGGCCCAGGAAACCUCCCAGGCUCGCAAGGGACACCUGGUCAUUUCUCCAAAAGAGCCUCGGGUGACCCUUGAUGUGGCAGGGAACAAAGUCAUCCUAGGAGGAAUUUGCCUUUCUCAAGCCUUUGAGAUGCAAAUGUUCCACCUGGUCUUUUCUGGGAACCCUGAGCUCGCUAUCUUUUUACAGUGCAAAUUUUGAGAAAAAGGACAGUUACUGUUGUACUCUGAUGCAAAGGUGCUUCAUCUUCAAGAAGAUUCAUAGGAAAGCUAUGGAAGUGGUUACAAGAGUUCCACAUCAAGAUGAUGGCCAUGCGAGGAUUCCGGCCCACACCGUCUGACUUAAAACAAGAAGCUGUCCUGCCCCUGGGACCCCUAGAUCAGGCAUCCAGAGAUUUUUACUCCCUGACAGGCAGGGUUGAUGCCCCUACUCAACCCUGAAGCAGCUAUGGACUAUAGCUCCUCUGCUUCCCAUAAGAUUAUGGGAGUAAAAUCUCUGAGGGGAGAAUGAGACAAGAGGGAAGGGGGCAGGGCCCAGCCAUUGAGGAGAAGAUGUAAACUGGGUAGAACCAACUAGGCCCAGGAUGGCAGAAGAUUUGACUUCUAGUAGACCUUGAGUCUCAUUAUAUGCUCAUUUGAAUAAAAUUAGCCUUGCAGAUUAGAAGUACCCAUCAUGCACCAAUGACAUGACACUUCCCAUCAAGACUAAGUAAGGACAAAAAUCCCUCCUCCCCUCAGGAAGGUGGAGUUGGGAUGAAAAUCAGGGAAUAUGACCCCAAACUCCUCGCUCCCCAGUGAAUAUUCUGCCCAUUCAUUUUUAUACCCCAUAUAACCAGCUUGCCAAAGAAACUGAGCGCAGCUACUCUCCUGAAUCUGCCCGCUUGCCCCUUGAGAGCAACCUAUGGCUUAAUAAACCCUCACUUUACUUUCUUGACCUCCAUGUUUCAUCUCUGAAUUCUUUCUGUGACA